rnacentral:rRNA from 1 species
GUCAAUGCUCGCAAGAGUGAACUAGCUAACUGAAAUCAUAUGACUCAUUAAUUGAUGGUGAUUAUGAUAACAUAAGGGAAAAAAAUGAUAUUACCUUAUUAUUAGUGUUGUCCAAAACUGGUGCCAGAAGACUCGGUAAGACCAGAGACGCAAACGUUAGUCAUCUUAAUCAGGCGUAAAGGGUUUGUAGGCUGCUUUAAAAGUUUAAAUUAUUUAAAAAGCUCUUUUACCGUAAUAUUACCUUUAAUUAUAAUUGAAAAUAAAAUAAAAAAAACAUAAUAAAAAUAAAAUAGAUAAUAUAAUAUAAAAAGGUAAUAUAUAAAAUUUAUUAUAUAAUAAAAAUAAAAAAUAAAAAUAAAUAAAUGAUAUUAUUAAAAAUAUAAAAUAUCCGUGUAUCAGUAAAGAAAUAAAUGAAUUAAAGCUAGGAUCAAAUUGAGGAUAAACCAAAUAAUACUUAGAGUAGGGCUUAUAUCCGCAGAUACUAAGGGGAAUACUAAAGGUGAAAACUUUUUAUCUACUAUUGAUUGACGCUGAGAAACGAAGGUGAGAACAGGAAAUAGGAUUAGAUACCCAGAUACCUCUCACUGUCAACGAUGAAUGGUGGUUUGUUAGUUUUAAUAAAAACUGGUAACGAUGUUAACACGAUAACCAUUCCGCCUUGCGAGUACGGUUGCAAAA